AGAUGAGGUCUCACCAGUGCCUUGUGUAAUAGUACUAACACUUCCUUGUCUAUACUGGAAAUAUCUUACCUGAUGCAUCUGAGGAUUGCAUUAGCCUUUUUCAUGGCCACAUCACAUUGUCCGCUCAUUGUCAUCCUAUGAUCAACCAAUACACCCAGGUCUUUCUCUUCCUCUGUUGCUCCCAACUGAUUAGUCUCCAGUUUAUGGUAAAAAUUCUUGUAUUGUCCCCAAGUGCCUGACGUUGCCCUUUGCACUAUUUAAUUUCUUGCCAUUUCUUUCUCCAGUUUUCAAGGUCGUCCAGAUAUUUGUGUAUUAUAUUUGGGUCAUCCUCGGUAUUGGCAAUACCUCCCAGCUUUGUGUCAUCUGCAAAUUUUAUUAGCACAUUCCCAACUUGUGCAUCAAGGCUUCUACUGGACUGGGAUUCAGCUGCAAAGGUGGACAAGCAUGAGAAGAGACAUCAAACAGUUCAUUAUUGUCUCAGAAAAGGUUCAGUGCAUCUCCAGAAAAAAGGACCUGUGGAAUGUCAAGGCUGAAAAAAUGAUACUUUGUAAAAUUCAGAUUCAGUAUAUUCUCAGACCUUCCAGUUCUCUGCACCCGAGAAGACAAAGAAAACAGCUGUUGGAAUCUGGGGGAGGGAUCCUAACCUGAAGAGUUUGGUCAGUAACACUGCUGGAAGCAUGUGGCUCUGGAUAACCCUAUUUAAGUCCUUUCAGGCAUUCCACAUUCUGGAGGACAUCAAAAUCCUAGAGGUUCCUGAAUGGCAAAAGGACAUUCUGUUCCAAGGUACCGAUGACAAGCAAGCCGUGUCUGCCACAGAGGUUUUCAAGCUUAUGGUGACUUAGCAACACAUCUAUGAGUGGAGUUGGCUGGUGUUCUAUAGCGGAAGGCCCGAGAAAUAUACCCUUCCCCGAAAUGUGACUACUUAUCUGGAGUUCCUCCUAUGGGAAAAGUUUGCACCAUCAGCACCUGGGAUUGGGUCAAAAUUCAUGAGGGAAUCAACAGAAGGUUGGGUUAGGUUAGCGUCCGCAUGGAUUACUGCCUUCCUAUGACUUAUGAUAGACCCUGCUCUGAGUACAUCUACCUCUGGACUACAUGCAAACACACACAGUAAUACGGAUUCUCAAAGAACUGCACAGCUACCUCCACCCCUUUCCCCGGCGUAUUUGUGGACUGUCUACAAACUCCCUGCCAUAUUUUGGAAAGGGAAUACACUACGUUUCCCCCUUGCCCAGUACAGUUUACAGAUGGCUCGUUAUGCUGUGGCAUGGCCAGUCUGUAUAGUGUGACGUACUAAAAGGGAAGGCUAUAUAAGGAUCUUACUUUUAACCCUCCUGCGCAUCUUUGUAAGAACAUGUAAGUAUAUAAUAAAAAAAUAAUGUUAAAUGCUUGUUAAUCUGUUGUUUGAUCUUUCCAGUCUUAUUCUGAAUUCCACAUGGUGUUGGGGGAGUGAGAGAUGCCAAGGCACUGGCAUGCAUUCUGCCAUAAGUAGAUAUAUGCCGAUACCUGCUGUGAUGUUAUUGACAUGAACUGUGACUGUAUAGAUCAUUAUUGCAACCAAGGUCCUAUA